UGAGUUUUUGUUUAGGUUUUAUAUGCUUUUGGGUACUUUGGUCACGCUCCCUUUCCAAUUUAGCCGGUUAUAGUUAACCAAAGGACAAAAUUCAACAUUUUUUUUUGAUAAUUAUUGAUCUAGAGAGUCCAGAGAAAAUUACUGCAGUAGUUUGGUUUCGAUCGGGUAAAAAACCUGGGACUAGUUCGCAAAAGUACGUUUUUAACAUAUUUGUGAAUAACAAUUGAACGAUUUGAUUGACAUCUUCGCUCCUUGAGGCAAAGUUGCUCACAAAGAGGAGAUCUAUUAUAUGAUAUGAAUAUCUAGUGUUUGUGUGAAUGUAUGAACAUGUCCUACAAAUUGUAAUCAUUUUCUAUUGAAAAUGUGUGUUUUUGAGGCUUUUUCAACUGUUAUAGCGCCACCUAUGAUCCGAUCUCCAUGACACUUUGCAUGCUUGUUAAGAGUCACGUGUUACAUGUUUUCACCGAGUUUCAUAAAGUUUUGAGUUUUCGUUUAGGUUUUAUAGGCUUUGGGGUAUGUUUGGCCACACCCCUUUUCUAAAUUACCCAUUUAAAGCUAACCAAAGGACAAAAUUCAACAUUUUUUUGAUAAUUAUUGAUCUAGAGAGUCCACAGAAUAUUACUGCAGUGGUUUGGUCCCGAUCGGACAAAAAACCUAGGACUAGUUCGCAAAAGUAGGUUUUUAACAUAUAAGUAAAUAACAAUUGAACGAUUUGAUUGACAGUAAUGGUUCUUGAGGCAAAGUUGUGCAUUAUGAGGAGAUCUAUCAAAUGAUAUGCAUAUUGUGUUGAUAUGUGAAACACCACGUGAUUACAGAGCCAUAAAACUCGUUAGCGCCAACUAGUGGCCGAUUUCUUUCAAAAUUCUUACAGACCUUAAGGUUCAUGAGUCGAACGUACCCAGUGAGUUUCGUUCCGAUCAACAUCCGUUAACCCUUUCAAAUAGGUGCUUAAAAUUGUUUGGCCAAUGGCGGCCAUGUUUUUUGAGAUAUGCAAAUGUCCUCAUAGGUACUUGUGCCCCUUCAGACCAAGACACUGCAUACCAAUUUUCAAGUCGAUCGAGCGAACGGUUGCCUAGUUAUAGCCAUUUAUGUGUUUUUUAAAUCUUAUUGCGCCCCCAAGUGGCAGAGCUGCGCAAUUUUUUUUAUUUGACCAAAGAUUGAGCUUAUACAUAUGUGUACCGAGUUUGGUGAAGAUAUCUCAUUCCGUUCAAGAGUUAUAGUCAAAAUAGCAUUUGGCUAACGUUAGUAUAGACGCUUUUUGGUGUACUGUUUCGCGUAAGAAUUGAAAUUUCAACUUUUUUUUGAUAAUUAUUGAUAUUGAGUGUCCAGGGAAUAUUUCUGAAGUGGUUUGAUUCCGAUUGGUUAAAAAUCCUAAGACUAGUUCGCAAAAGUAGGUUUCGGAUAUAGCUCGAUUUUGCGAGAAAACGGUGCGUCGUAGAGCAAAAAAUGCAGCUGUGCACUUUUGUUCGGGCUAACCCAAGGAUUGCAACGAUGCCUUGUUUUUGAGUCUACGGCUAACGGUUUACGAUCUGCUGCCAAAAAUGUCCAAAAUUUUAGUUUUUUGCGCUGUAGCGCCCCCGUUAGGCCGAUUGGGCUGAGACUUUGAUAAGUUCUCCCCAAAAUGAGCUCUACGAUCUGUCCAAAUUUCAGCUCUCUAGGCCUUACGGUUUGGGCUGCACGUUCAGUUCUAGGGCAGAAGAAUAAUAAUAAUAAUAAAAAUCCUAACAAUUACAAGAGGGUUUCAGCACUGCGUGCUUGAACCCCUAAUAAUAAUAAUUAAAGCUGCAAGCAGCAUUUUACGGGGUUCAAGCAUUUAAGGCCUCUGAGGUGGUCUUGGCUAACCUGGAUGCAUGGAUGACAGUUAAAGACAUCCAAAAUGAAGAAUAGGCUGGCAGACAGACACAAACACUGAAAUUAAAUGAUUAAACUAGUUUUUAACAGUUUAGAUGUCAUUUUCAGGUUAAACUGUAAUCACAAUGUGGCAAAAUUGUAAAAACUGAUAUAUCUGUAUGAACAAAAUGGAAAACAUUGACUCAAUGAGAUUUAAAAUGUUAUAACAGUUAAUUUUUUUUAUGUUUUGGCAUGAAUUAAUGAAUCCUUUCAACAGUACUGUUCAACUUUGCUGAAUGAGCCCAUUAGUGGUCUCCCGCUGCCAUCUAGUGGUUCUAAAUUGCAUUUACUCAAGCAACACUGUGUUUUUAAAUAUAACUGUUAUAGUGUUGUUAUUUUUUUUGACCAAUCUCUCUUAAAUUUUGCAUGCUUGUUUAGAAUGAAAUUAUGCAUUAUUUUACACAGUUUUGAUAAUUUGUGGGCUUUCUGUUUGUAUUAAUAGGCCUUAGUGUACACUAUGCAAAUAACAUAUUAUAAAAUUACUGGUUUAUAGUUGUCCAAAUGCAACUGUUCAACAUGUUUUUGAUAAUUAUUGACCUUCAGAGUCUAGAGAAUUGUACUUCAGUGGUUUUAUUGAUUUUCAGCUUAUACCCUAUCACUAGUUUGCCAAAGUAACUUUUUGAAAUAAUCUUGAAUAUUUAAUUAACAGCUUUAUUGACAACAUUGGUCCCAGAGGCAAAGUUGUUCAGAAUGAGGAGAUCUAUCAUAUGAUAUGAAGAUCUAGUGUUUUUGAGUGAAUAUAUGAGCAUUUUCAAACAAUUUGAGGCCAUUUACCAUAUAAAUCUUGUGUUUUGAGACCUUUUCUACUGUUAUAGCGCCACCUAUGGUGCGAUCUCCAUGAAACUUUGCAUGCUUGUUAAGAGUUACCUGUUACAUGUUCUCACCACGUUUCAUAAAGUUUUGAGUUUUCGUUUAGGUUUUAUAGGCUUUGGGGUAUGUUUGGCCACACCCCUUUUCUUAAUUACCCAUUUAACGCUAACCAAAGUACAAAAUUGAACAUUUUUUUGAUAAUUAUUGAUCUAGACAGUCCACAGAAUAUUACUGCAGUGGUUUGGUUCCGAUCGGACAAAAAACCUAGGACUAGUUCGCAAAAGUAGUUUUUUAACAUAUUUGUGAAUAACAAUUGAACGAUUUGAUUGACAGCAAUGGUUCUUGAGGCAAAGUUGUGCAUUAUGAGGAGAUCUAUCAAAUGAUAUGCAUAUUGUGUUGAUAUGUGAAACACCACGUGAUUACAGAGCCAUAAAACUCGUUAGCGCCAACUAGUGGCCGAUUUCUUUCAAAAUUCUUACAGACCUUAAGGUUCAUGAGUCGAACGUACCCAGCGAGUUUCGUUCCGAACAACAUCCGUUAACCCUUUCAAAUAGGUGCUUAAAAUUGUUUGGCCAAUGGCAGCCAUGUUUUUUGAGAUAUGCAAAUGUCCUCAUAGGUACUUGUGCCCCUUCAGACCAAGACACUGCAUACCAAUUUUCAAGUCGAUCGAGCCAACGGUUGCCUAGUUAUAGCCAUUUAUGUGUUUUUUAAAUCUUAUUGCGCCCCCAAGUGGCAGAGAUGCGCAAUUUUUUUUUAUUUGACCAAAGAUUGAGCUCAUACAUAUGUGUACCAAGUUUGGUCAAGAUAUCUCAUUCCGUUCAAGAGUUAUAGUCAAAAUAACAUUUGGCUAACGUUAGCAUAGACGCUUUUUGGCGUACUGUUUCGCGUAAGAAUCGAAAUUUCAACUUUUUUUUGAUAAUUAUUUAUAUUGAGUGUCCAGGGAAUAUUUCUGCAGUGGUUUCGUUCCGAUUGGUUGAAAAUCCUAGGACUAGUUCGCAAAAGUAGGUUUCGGAUAUAGCUCGAUUUUGCGAGAAAACGGUGCGUCGUAGAGCAAAAAAUGCAGCUGUGCACUUUUGUUCGGGCUAACCCAAGGAUUGCAACGAUGCCUUGUUUUUGAGUCUACGGCUAACGGUUUACGAUCUGCGGCCAAAAAUGUCCAAAAUUUUAGUUUUUUGCGCUGUAGCGCCCCCGUUAGGCCGAUUGGGCUAAGACUUUGAUAAGUUCUCCCCAAAAUGAGCUCUACGAUCUGUCCAAAUUUCAGCUCUCUAGGCCUUACGGUUUGGGCUGCACGUUCAGUUCUAGGGCGGAAGAAUAA